GACGGAGGGGGCAAGCGUUGUCCGGACUCACUGGGCGUAAAGGGUGCGUAGGCGGUUUGGAGCGUCCGCGCUGAAAUCACACGGCUUAACCGUGUGGCGCGUGCGGAUACGACCAGGCUUGAGGUGUGGAGAGGAUGGGGGGAACUCCUGGUGUAGUGGUGAAAUGCGUAGAGAUCAGGAAGAACACCCGUGGCGCAAGCGCCCAUCUGGCCACAACCUGACGCUG
rnacentral:rRNA from 1 species